GAUCUUGGCUCAGGAUGAACGCUAGCUACAGGCUUAACACAUGCAAGUCGAGGGGCAGCAUGAACUUAGCUUGCUAAGUUUGAUGGCGACCGGCGCACGGGUGAGUAACACGUAUCCAACCUUCCCGUUACUCUGGGAUAGCCUUUCGAAAGAAAGAUUAAUACCGGAUAGUAUCGAGAGAUUGCAUGAUUACCCGAUUAAAGAUUCAUCGGUAACGGAUGGGGAUGCGUUCCAUUAGGCAGG
rnacentral:rRNA from 1 species